CAAGUAAACUUUUGUAAAUGAAAAAAUAUACCUAUCUUUCUUUCUUAAAUUGUCUUAUUUAUUGCAGGACAUUAAAUGGCUUUGUUACAGAGCUUUUCUCCAUAAAAAUUCCUAAUUGAGGCAUUCAAGGCCCCACUACAGACCAGCAUGGUGCAGCUGCGCAUGGCUGGUCGGAAUGUUGCCUCAGUGCUAUCACUCCUUGCCCUUUUUUUAUACGUAGCAUAUUUUACUUCAGAACUCUAUUCCCGUCUCAACAGUAUUCAAAAACUUCAACGACUCCAUGAAUAUGAACGAGAGUUGGAGGAGCUGUCACACUUGCUACAUCAAUAUAAAGCUGAUUCAAAAGUUGUGAAGGAAAGCAUCUCUCUCCUGCAGGAGGUUGUCUCAAAAAUGGCAGAUUUUUCUAAGCGUAAGCGAGCUCAAAAACUGCUUGCUUCUUACUCACAUGGAAUAAGAAGGGAAACCAAAGACAUCACAGAUAGUCAUCAUGCUUCAUUUAGUAUUAGAAAUCAUAGUAAAGCAAAUAUCCCACACCACUCUGAUCAAACAGGGGGAAAAUUAAAAUUGGAUGAGAACUUUGUUUAUCAUCCUGAACAAAUACUACAGAGAGAUCAAUCAAUCAGAAAACCAAAGCAAUUAAGGGAUGCAAGGGAAACUAAUUCUGUCGAGGAAAAUUCUGUUAGAUGACUGGCUCAUGUGUGUCUUGUAAUGAUGGUCUUCUUGAAUAGUGUUUGCUCCUUAAAUUCUGGCAUUCUAAUUGAGAAGAUUAUUAAAUUUAUACAACAUAUUUUAGAAUAUCAGGUUAUUAGCAUGUUUGAAGCCAGUCUUCACAUUUUCAUACCUUUAUCCUUUUGUUAAUUUUUGUAGUUAUCUCACUUUUUCAUCAUCAAGCAUGGUGAUUGUAGCUGGCAUGUAUAUAUUAUCUAUGUGGAUAUGGGGAAAAAUCUUCUCUGGGGAAUAAUCAUAUACUAUGUAUAAUGAACAAGUAUGUAUCCAUCGUGUUUAUGUUUAAUAUUAAGAUGUCACAAAGAUCUGAAACUUGGAAUUGUAAGAUGUGAAAUGGGUAUUUUAGAUCCCACUAAAAAAUUGGCAGUUAAUAUGUAUGUACGUAUGUCUGCAAUGCUCUUCUUGGUUAUUUUCCUGCAAAUGAUAUUAAAUGGAAUUUGAGGCUACUUAAUCUGUCUUCAAGUUAUGCCAGGGUCACCUGCUCUUUAAUUUGCUCCAUUGUGCUUGGUAAUUGAAAUUUAUAUUAAUGGUUUUGACGGAAAUAUUUCCUGUAACCUGAUAAAAUUUCUUUUUUUUCUAUCAAAAGGUCCUCAAAACUUGAAAUGAUAAGUGAAUAUUUAAAUUUUUUUCAUUGUAAACUACAACUUAAAUUUAGCAAUUAAUUAGCAAUUAAUUAAUUAAUUACAGCAAGUAUUUCUGGCAGAAUGUCUUCAAAUCAGCAUGAGUUAGUGAAACUUAUUGAUUCUCCAUGGGGUGGUUUAUCCAAAAACAAAUAUAUUGACUUCAUCUAAUGGCUAAUCUUGGAGCACUGCAUUUUAUCUCAUUUAGUGCAUAAUAAGCAAUUGUUCUGCAGAACAAUAGAUACCGUUAAAUAGAAUUUUUAUAAUGUAUCACUCAAAUUCUAUAACUUAGAUUCGCGUUAAGAUUUUGUGUCAGGGUGUAACAAGCAGAAUUCAAGUUUUUUUUAUCAAAUUUAAACAAAAACUGCCCAAUUGUUAUAUUUUAUAUGAUUGUGUAUCAUACUUAUAGCCUAGAUGCAACUAUUCUAAUUGGAAAUGAAUUAUUGGAGCAUCCUAAUUCACUGGUCUUCCUCACAUUUCCAACUUGUUUGUACAUAUUCAAUGGAUGUUUUUAUACAUUGUUAAAUAUUCUUGACAUUAAAUUGUACCUAUCUUGUAGCCUUUGAAUUAACAAUUUUCUUGAUGUAUAAAGUAUGUGCACUAAUAUUCAUACUCCCAUUGCUGUGCUUCUACGAAUAUGUUUAUUGAUGCAGGUAGCUGUGAUGCUGGCUUGUCUAAUGUUUUUAUAUGCAGCGACUUUGGUAAAAACUGAAUGAUCUGAGUAGAUUGUGUUGUAUUAUAUAUAUCAGUACUGUGAUAGCUCUCAUGUUUGGGCUCACCAGGUCUUGUAGGAGACUAGACUAAGCCUGCCAGUUAAUUACCUACUACAUUGCAUGUAAUUGACUAAUUGUUUAGUAAAUUAAAUGAGCAAACUGCGCAUAAAGGAAGAAGUACACUGGCUCCUUCAAAAGGAAUUUACCAUUACCAUUAGCUUAUCUCAACGAUAAAGUUUUUUCACACAAUUCAGUCAAGAUUUGCUAAAUUCAUACUUGUCCUCUGGUAUUGUAUUACCUGUAAAGCCCAAAAACUUCUAUUUGUGCCCUCAAAGUUCUUCUAUUUUAUUUUGUUCUUCAGUGAUUGUAAAAUUUGUAAUUUUUAUUGUGUAGAAUUUUGUUAAUUGGUAGAAACAUGAACAAUGGUGAUCAAUUGAUGUUUAAAAAUAAAUGUACAACAAUAUGAAAAUGUCCCAGGGCGAUAUUAAGAAAUCAUACUUUAAUAAUGGCGUAAGGAAAUAAAAUCUAUGGUGGAGUUGUUCACGAUUCUAAAUUAUGAAGUUUCUUAUAACGGGAAAAAAGCUUUAAUUCAAACAUGUUAGAUGAAGUCUGGUGCUCACUUAAUUCGAAAUCUUCGUUGAACGAGCAGCAUUGUCUCCACAGAAGCAACAGAUUGUUAUGUCAUGAACAUUGUUAUCAUGUCAUUAACGAAAAUGCUGAAUAACACAGCAUCGUCAAGUCCCUCUGCAGCCUUAAUUUGCUAAAGAUCAACCCUGUCGUUAAAUUUUAUUUGAUUAAAAAUAUUGCAAUUAGUGUCAAAAUGACUUAAUUUGGUGUCUUAGUAGUGCCUUUUAUUUAUGUUACCAGAGUAUAUACCGUAUAUCAUUACUUUAGUGUCAAGUUGGAAACUAUGCGACAUAUUUGUAACGGAGAGUCGAAUAUUUCAGUCAUGCUUUCCACUUCAUGUAUGUUUCUAAUGUGUGCUGUGAUACUGGAUUAAUAUUGAUGACUAUUUACCCUGAUUUGCUCCUCGCGGAAUUUCAGAAGUAUUGGGACAACAAUAAAGCAGUAAAGAGUAGGUAGUGCAUCGCGUAACUCGGAUCAGACAUUUUUUCAUUAUGGGAAUUGAGUAGCUAUUCACAUCAUAGUUCAUUUCCCCAUAGUCUCUUGCAUUCAUAAACAUUCGAGUGCUAUACCUUAAACCUUUCUCAUAGAUUUAUUACCAUAGAAAUUCCGAAAGGUUUGUUAAAAAAUCAGACAUAGUAGAAAUUAGAGACGGUAGUUAUUUUUGUUGUCUAUCUUUGGUAAUUUUAUUUUCUGCUGAUAUUUUUCGCAGUUUAAAGAUCGUUCUUUUCAUGUUCAUUUUGCUACUCAUUCAUUUAUUUACUGUAAAAAUCCAGACCUUAUUUUCAUUGCUGAAUAUCUGCUGUACAACUAGAAGGAAAAGUAUUUACCAAUAAUCAAGUUGAAUACA